rnacentral:rRNA from 1 species
AUUGAACGCUGGCGGCAUGCUUUACACAUGCAAGUCGAACGGCAGCGCGGGCUUCGGCCUGGCGGCGAGUGGCGAACGGGUAAGUAAUGCAUCGGAACGUGCCCAGUAGUGGGGGAUAGCCCGGCGAAAGCCGGAUUAAUACCGCAUACGACCUGAGGGUGAAAGCGGGGGACCGAAAGGCCUCGCGCUAUUGGAGCGGCCGAUGUCGGAUUAGCUAGUUGGUGGGGUAAAGGCUUACCAAGGCGACGAUCCGUAGCUGGUCUGAGAGGACGACCAGCCACACUGGGACUGAGACACGGCCCAGACUCCUACGGGAGGCAGCAGUGGGGAAUUUUGGACAAUGGGGGCAACCCUGAUCCAGCCAUGCCGCGUGCGGGAAGAAGGCCUUCGGGUUGUAAACCGCUUUUGUUCGGGAAGAAAUCCUCUGGGCUAAUACCCCGGGGGGAUGACGGUACCGGAAGAAUAAGCACCGGCUAACUACGUG